GGGGGAUAAGCGGAAGAAAUUCCGUCUAAUACCGCGUAAUAACUCCGAGGGGCAUCUCUUGGGGUUUAAAGGGUAACACCGGCUACGGAUGGCCAUGCGGCGCAUUAGCUAGUUGGCGGGGUAACGGCCCACCAAGGCGACGAUGCGUAGGGGUUCUGAGAGGAAGGUCCCCCACACUGGUACUGAGACACGGACCAGACUCCUACGGGAGGCAGCAGUGAGGAAUAUUGGUCAAUGGGCGCGAGCCUGAACCAGCCAAGUCGCGUGAGGGAAGACGGUCCUAUGGAUUGUAAACCUCUUUUGUCGGGGAGCAAAAGACGCCACGCGUGGCGUUCCGAGAGUACCCGAAGAAAAAGCAUCGGCUAACUCCGUGCCAGCAGCCGCGGUAAUACGGAGGAUGCGAGCGUUAUCCGGAUUUAUUGGGUUUAAAGGGUGCGCAGGCGGAAGAUCAAGUCAGCGGUAAAAUUGAGAGGCUCAACCUCUUCGAGCCGUUGAAACUGGUUUUCUUGAGUGAGCGAGAAGUAUGCGGAAUGCGUGGUGUAGCGGUGAAAUGCAUAGAUAUCACGCAGAACUCCGAUUGCGAAGGCAGCAUACCGGCGCUCAACUGACGCUCAUGCACGAAAGUGUGGGUAUCGAACAGGAUUAGAUACCCUGGUAGUCCACACAGUAAAC
rnacentral:rRNA from 1 species